GGGCCCGCACAAGCGGUGGAGUAUGUGGUUUAAUUCGACGCAACGCGAAGAACCUUACCUGGGUUUGACAUCCCCGGCCGACACCAGAGAUGGUGUUUUCUCUUCGGAGACCGGGUGACAGGUGCUGCAUGGCUGUCGUCAGCUCGUGUCGUGAGAUGUUGGGUUAAGUCCCGCAACGAGCGCAACCCUUGCCCUCAGUUGCCAGCAGUUCGGCUGGGCACUCUGGGGGGACUGCCGGUGACAAGCCGGAGGAAGGUGGGGAUGACGUCAAGUCCUCAUGGCCCUUAUGUGUUGGGCUACACACGUGCUACAAUGGCACUUACAAUGGGAUGCAAAGAGGUGACUCUAAGCUAAUCCCAAAAAUGUGUCUCAGUUCGGAUUGUACUCUGUAACUCGAGUGCAUGAAGCUGGAAUUGCUAGUAAUCGC
rnacentral:rRNA from 1 species